rnacentral:rRNA from 1 species
UACAGAGGGUGCGAGCGUUGUUCGGAAUUAUUGGGCGUAAAGGGCGCGUAGGCGGUGCGGUAAGUCACCUGUGAAAUCUCCUGGCUCAACUGGGAGCUUGCAGGCGAAACUGCCGUGCUGGAGUGUGGGAGAGGUGCGUGGAAUUCCUGGUGUAGCGGUGAAAUGCGUAAAUAUCAGGAGGAACACCUGUGGCGAAAGCGGCGCACUGGACCACAACUGACGCUGAGGCGCGAAAGCUAGGGGAGCAAACAGG